rnacentral:rRNA from 1 species
ACUUUGGUUUUUGUAGAUCAAAGGUGGCCGUCUCCAUGGAAGCUUCUGUUUGGAGAUGAGCCCGCGUACCAUUAGCUUGUUGGUAGGGUAAUGGCCUACCAAGGCAACGAUGGUUAGCUGGUCUGAGAGGAUGAUCAGCCACACUGGAACUGACACACGGUCCAGACUCCUACGGGAGGCAGCAGUGAGGAAUUUUGCGCAAUGGGGGAAACCCUGACGCAGCAACGCCGCGUGAGUGAUGAAGGCCUUCGGGUCGUAAAGCUCUGUCAAGUGGGAAGAACCUGCCUUUUUGCUAAUAUCAAUUGGCACUGACGGUACCACUGAAGGAAGCACCGGCUAACUCCGUG